AUGCAGUCCACGGUACCUUCGGGUAUAGUGGCGGACGGGUGAGUAACGCGUGAGAAUCUGUCUUCAGGUCGGGGACAACAGUUAGAAAUGACUGCUAAUACCGGAUAUGCCUUGUUGGGGUGAAAGAUUAAUUGCCUGAAAAUGAGCUCGCGUCAGAUUAGCUAGUAGGUGGAGUAAGAGACUACCUAGGCAUCGAUCUGUAGCUGGUCUGAGAGGACGAUCAGCCACACUGAGAACUGAGACACGGUCCAGACUCCUACGGGAGGCAGCCGCUGGGGAAUUUUCCGCAAUGGGCGAAAGCCUGACGGAGCCAAUACCUCGCGAGGGACGAAGGCUUGUGGGACGAAAACCUCUUUUCUCAAGGAAGAUUUCAGACGGUACUUGAGGAAUAAGCAUCGGCUAACUCCGUGCCAGCAGCCGCGAAAAUACGGAGGAUGCAAGCGUUAUCCGGAAUGAUUGGGCGUAAAGCGUCCGCAGGUGGCUUUAUAAGUCUGCUGUAAAAGCGUUAGGCUUAACCUAAUUACGGCGGUGAAAACUAUAAGGUUAGAGCAUGUUAGGGCUAGAGGGAAUUCCCACUGUAGCGCUGAAAUGCGUAGAGAUUGGGAAGAACACCGGUGGCAAAGGCGCUCUGCUAGGACAAUCCUGACACUGAAGGACGAAAGCUAGGGCAGCGAAUGACAUUAGAUACCCCAGUAGUCCUAACCGUACACGAUGAAUACUACGCGUAGCCCGUAUCGACCCGGGCAUUGACGAAGCUAACGCGUUAACUAUCCCGCCAGGGAGUACGCACCCCAGUGUGAGACUCACCGGAAUAGACCGGCGCCAGCACAAACAGUCGAAGAAGUUGACUAAUUCCAUCCCACGCGGAGAACCUUGCCGGGACUUGCCAUGCCACGAACCCUAGCUAAAGCAGGUGGUGCCUUCCGGAGCAAGCACCCAGGUGGUGCAUGGCUGUCGUCAGCUCGUGUCGUGAGAUGUUGGGUUAAGUCCCGCAACGAGCGCAACCCUCGUUUUUAGUUGCCAUCAUUAAGUUGGGCACUCUAGAGAGACUGCCGGUGACAAACCGGAGGAAGGUGGGGAUGACGUCAAGUCAGCAUGCCCCUUACGUCCUGGGCUACACACGUACUACAAUGCGACGAACAAAGGGCAGCUAGUUAGCAAUAACAUGCAAAUCUCAGAAAUCGUCGCUCAGUUCAGAUUGAAGGCUGCAACUCGCCUUCAUGAAGUCGGAAUCGCUAGUAAUUGCAGGUCAGCAUACUGCAGUGAAUUCGUUCCCGGGCCUUGUACACACCGCCCCGAGUCGUUACCCUAACCUUUCGAGGAGGGGGACGCCGAAGGUAGGACUGGUGACUGGGGUGAAGUCGUAACAAGGUAGCCGUACCGGAAGGUGUGGCUGGAUCACCUCCUUUAUAGGGAGACCUAAAUCAAGUAAAAAGAACCAAGUAAAAAGUAAAAAGAAAGAGAAAAAUCUUUUGACUUUUGAUUUUUGAGUUUUGACUUAAUGUAUCCCGAGGUCGGUCGCAUAUAUUUAGGUAAGCUUUCAAACUAUAAACAGGGUUCUUUUAUGGGCUAUUAGCUCAGGUGGUUAGAGCGCACCCCUGAUAAGGGUGAGGUCCCUGGUUCGAGUCCAGGAUGGCCCACCUGAAGCAAGUAAAAAGUAAAAAGUAAAAAGUAAAAAAAUCUUCUGACUUUUGAUUUUUGACUUUUGACUUUGUGGGGGGGUUUAGCUCAGUUGGUAGAGCGCCUGCCUUGCAAGCAGGAUGUCAGCGGUUCGAGUCCGCUAACCUCCACCUACUCCAAGAAAAAAAAUGCCACAAAAAAAGAAAAAACUUUGCAGUGGCAAGAUGAUUGUGAUAAGAUAAGAAAAUGUGGAUAAAUUCAGCAACAUGGCAAUUGGUCAGACUGCUGGAAGUGAUCCAGCCAGAACUUUGAAAACUGCAUAGUAACGCGAGGCAGGUAGACACAGACAUUGUAAGAAAUCAGAGUGAUGAUUUCAAAAAUGAAAGUGUUUGCAUAGCAUAGAUAUCACCAAUGCGUGAAGUAGUCAAGCGACUAAGGGCUAAUGGUGGAUACCUAG
rnacentral:rRNA from 1 species